rnacentral:rRNA from 1 species
AUACGUAGGUGGCAAGCGUUGUCCGGAAUUAUUGGGCGUAAAGGGCGCGUAGGCGGAUAUUUAAGUCAGAUGUGAAAUAUGCGGGCUUAACCCGGAUAUGCAACUGAUACUGGGUAUCUUGAGUGCAGGAGAGGACAGUGGAAUUCCUAGUGUAGCGGUGAAAUGCGUAGAUAUUAGGAGGAACACCAGUGGCGAAGGCGGCUGUCUGGACUGUAACUGACGCUGAGGCGCGGAAGCGUGGGGAGCAAACAGGAUUAGAUACCCUGGUAGUCCACGCCGUAAACGAUGGGUACUAGGUGUAGGGGGUAUCGACCCCUUCUGUGCCGGAGUUAACACAAUAAGUACCCCGCCUGGGGAGUACGGCCGCAAGGUUGAA